rnacentral:rRNA from 1 species
CAAUAGCGUAUAUUAAAGUUGUUGCAGUUAAAAAGCUCGUAGUUGGAUUUCUGAUCGAGACAUCAGGUCGGGUCCGAGAGGAUCAUGUACUUUGAUUUUGCUUUGAUCAUCCUUGGGGAGAGCAUUUCUGGCAUUCAGUUGUCGGGAUUGGGAUCCUCAUCGUUUACUGUGAAAAAAUUAGAGUGUUCAAAGCAGGCCUCGGCCUCUGAAUACAUUAGCAUGGAAUAAUAAGAUAGGACUUUGGUGGUCUAUUUUGUUGGUUUGCACGCCAAAGUAAUGAUUAAUAGGGAUAGUUGGGGGUAUUCGUAUUCAAUUGUCAGAGGUGAAAUUCUUGGAUUUAUGGAAGACGAACUACUGCGAAAGCAUUUACCAAGGAUGUUUUCAUUAA